rnacentral:rRNA from 1 species
UGGCUCAGGAUAACGCUAGCUACAGGCUUAACACAUGCAAGUCGAGGGGCAGCAUGGGGUUUGCUUGCAAAUCCUGAUGGCGACCGGCGCACGGGUGAGUAACGCGUAUCCAACCUUCCCGUCACUCGGGGACAGCCCAGCGAAAGCUGGAUUAACCCCCGAUGUUGUCAUAUGAUAGCAUUAGAGUGUGACGAAAGGCUAACGGUGACGGAUGGGGAUGCGUCUGAUUAGGUAGUAGGCGGGGUAACGGCCCACCUAGCCGACGAUCAGUAGGGGUUCUGAGAGGAAGGUCCCCCACAUUGGAACUGAGACACGGUCCAAACUCCUACGGGAGGCAGCAGUGAGGAAUAUUGGUCAAUGGGCGAGAGCCUGAACCAGCCAAGUAGCGUGCAGGAUGACGGCCCUACGGGUUGUAAACUGCUUUUAUGAAGGAAUAAAGUCACCCACGUGUGGGUGUUUGCAUGUACUUUAUGAAUAAGGACCGGCUAAUUCCGUGCCAGCAGCCGCGGUAAUACGGAAGGUCCGGGCGUUAUCCGGAUUUAUUGGGUUUAAAGGGAGCGUAGGCCGCCUGGUAAGCGUGUUGUGAAAUGUCGUUGCUCAACAACGUCACUGCAGCGCGAACUGCUGGGCUUGAGUGUGCGGAAAGCGGGCGGAAUUUGUGGUGUAGCGGUGAAAUGCUUAGAUAUCACGAAGAACUCCGAUUGCGAAGGCAGCUCGCUGUAGCAUUACUGACGCUGAAGCUCGAAGGUGCGGGUAUCGAACAGGAUUAGAUACCCUGGUAGUCCGCACGGUAAACGAUGGAUGCUCGCUGUUCGGCCCUCGGGCCGUGUGGCCAAGCGAAAGCGUUAAGCAUCCCACCUGGGGAGUACGCCGGCAACGGUGAAACUCAAAGGAAUUGACGGGGGCCCGCACAAGCGGAGGAACAUGUGGUUUAAUUCGAUGAUACGCGAGGAACCUUACCCGGGCUUGAACUGCAGCUGCAUGGAGUGGAGACACUCCUUCCCUUCGGGGCCGCUGUGGAGGUGCUGCAUGGUUGUCGUCAGCUCGUGCCGUGAGGUGUCGGCUUAAGUGCCAUAACGAGCGCAACCCCUGUCGUCAGUUGCCAUCAGGUAAUGCUGGGCACUCUGGUGAUACUGCCACCGCAAGGUGUGAGGAAGGUGGGGAUGACGUCAAAUCAGCACGGCCCUUACGUCCGGGGCUACACACGUGUUACAAUGGCGCAUACAGAAAGCAGGCAUUCCGCAAGGCGUGCCGAAUCAGGAAAAUGCGUCGUAGUUCGGAUUGGGGUCUGCAACCCGACCCCAUGAAGCUGGAUUCGCUAGUAAUCGCGCAUCAGCCAUGGCGCGGUGAAUACGUUCCCGGGCCUUGUACACACCGCCCGUCAAGCCAUGAAAGCCGGGGGCGCCUGAAGUCCGUGACCGCGAGGAUCGGCCUAGGGUGAAACUGGUGAUUG